GGGAGUACGACCGCAAGGUUGAAACUCAAAGGAAUUGACGGGGGCCCGCACAAGCGGUGGAGCAUGUGGUUUAAUUCGAAGCUACGCGAAGAACCUUACCAGGUCUUGACAUCUUGCGCUAACCUUAGAGAUAAGGCGUUCCCUUCGGGGACGCAAUGACAGGUGGUGCAUGGUCGUCGUCAGCUCGUGUCGUGAGAUGUUGGGUUAAGUCCCGCAACGAGCGCAACCCUUGUUACUAGUUGCCAGCAUUAAGUUGGGCACUCUAGUGAGACUGCCGGUGACAAACCGGAGGAAGGUGGGGACGACGUCAGAUCAUCAUGCCCCUUAUGACCUGGGCUACACACGUGCUACAAUGGACGGUACAACGAGUCGCAAGCUCGCGAGAGUAAGCUAAUCUCUUAAAGCCGUUCUCAGUUCGGACUGUAGGCUGCAACUCGCCUACACGAAGUCGGAAUCGCUAGUAAUCGCGGAUCAGCAUGCCGCGGUGAAUACGUUCCCGGGCCUUGUACACACCGCCCGUCACACCAUGGGAGUUUGUAACGCCCAAAGUCGGUGGCCUAACCUUUAUGGAGGGAGCCGCCUAAGGCGGGACAGAUGACUGGGGUGAAGUCGUAACAAGGUAGCCGU
rnacentral:rRNA from 1 species